rnacentral:pre_miRNA from 1 species
CAAAAUCAGCCGGAAAUCGCGAAGCCAUACUUUUUGACAUUCUUUGCUGAACUUUUAAAUGACGCUGGAAUGUUGAGAAGUGUGAUUUGGCGAUUUU